rnacentral:rRNA from 1 species
CAAGCAAGGGGAGAAAAGUCGUAACAUAGUAGGCCUACCGGAAGGUAGGCCUGGAUAAA